rnacentral:rRNA from 1 species
GACGAACGCUGGCGGCGUGCUUAACACAUGCAAGUCGAACGGAAAGGCCCUGCUUUUGUGGGGUGCUCGAGUGGCGAACGGGUGAGUAACCCGGGAGUAACCUGCCCUUGACUUUGGGAUAACUUCAGGAAACUGGGGCUAAUACCGGAUAGGAGCUCCUGCUGCAUGGUGGGGGUUGGAAAGUUUCGGCGGUUGGGGAUGGACUCGCGGCUUAUCAGCUUGUUGGUGGGGUAGUGGCUUACCAAGGCUUUGACGGGUAGCCGGCCUGAGAGGGUGACCGGCCACAUUGGGACUGAGAUACGGCCCAGACUCCUACGGGAGGCAGCAGUGGGGAAUAUUGCACAAUGGGCGGAAGCCUGAUGCAGCAACGCCGCGUGCGGGAUGACGGCCUUCGGGUUGUAAACCGCUUUCGCCUGUGACGAAGCGUGAGUGACGGUAAUGGGUAAAGAAGCACCGGCUAACUACGUG